rnacentral:lncRNA from 1 species
GCGGACCUUUCAUUUUUUUUAAAAAAAAAAAGAAAAACCUAAACCGUGAAUGCUCUCUGCGCCACUCAAAGGCUCUCCGAUCCCUCGCCCGACUCUGAUUACGACGGAGUGAGCGACGGUCCGGCUAUCAGGUAAUCUCUUUGCUCUCUAAUCUCUCUCUUUUAUUCCUUUUUUACUCAAAUAAUGAACUAAACAAAAACCAGAUGCGAAGGAAAAAUUUCAUUCACCUUUAAAACUCUGUUUUUCCUUUGAAUAUUUUUUUUCUUUCAAUAUCUGCUUCUGUGUCCAUCGUUUUCAGUAUUCCAAUGGCUUUUUUAUAGCCGAAAAUUGCAAAAUAAAUAAUAAUAAUAACAAUCUAAAAAUCCAAUCCGUUCUCCGUUUCUGUUAUUUCUUUCGCUGCUCUUGUGUGUGUAUUUUGCAGGUACAUGCUGGCGUGGAGAUGGCGCACACGCGCGGAGGUGCAACACGCGCGGGGAUCUGGUUCGAAUUUGCCUAUGACGCAGAAGCAGAAGCCUGCUGUUGCUGCUGCACCAGGAAAAUCUAGAAACCCCUAGGGUUUUUGAAUUUGGGCCGUUUGGGCCAUUAUAAUCGGGCUAUUUUUUAGGUAAAUGAUUUGGGCUAUGUAUUUGGAUAUGGAUUUAGUAUUUGGGUUAGUUUGGGUUUAGGUAUUAUUGUUUUUUUAAUUUCGGUAAUUGGGCUAAAAACUUGGAUUUAUUUGGAUGUAAAUGGACAAUGGACUUUAUUUGUUGUUUUUUUAUUUAUUUUUUGGUUUUAUAUUUGAUUUAUUUUCUGUUUGUUUUUCGGCCGGGCAAAUUUGGGUAUUACAAAUGUAACCAAUCUAAAUAUUGGAACCACAACCUUUGGCAAAAUUAUUUCAUAACAAUAUAAAAUAAUAAAUUUAAACAACCAUACAUACGAUCCAUAAAACAUGUAUAUAUCCAAGAAUGUCAUCUCUUAUCAAAAUUUAAUCAAGAGAAAGUUCCAAGAAUCUGAUAAAUGGGUUUACACAUAAAUAUUGCACAACCUGGCUCUAAUACUAAUUGUUGAAAAAAUUGAUUUGAAAAUAAUGGAAUAGUGCAUAGUAAAAUUUUAAAAAAUUUCUUUUGAUACCGAGCAGUUGUGAUUUUUAUAACAAUAAACUCAUUUUCCUGUAUUGUACCUGGGUUUUGUACGAUGUGGGCUAAAUCGUUCUUGGCUUUUGACCACUCAAUCUUCUCCACUAUCCUCGAUCUCGAUUUGCUAGAGUGUAGGCUCUAUACGCAAGUCGAUGAAAACUUUAUAAUUAAACUUUAGGCUAGAGACCAAAAGACGAACUCUGUCAAAAGAUAGAAUUUGUUUGGAAAAUAAAUUUUCUAUAUUUUGACAGAAUGUCAACGCAUGAGAGGUGUUUAUUUGACCUAUCAUUUGUCUCUAUUUAUAGAGAAAAUAGCAAGAAUUUUAGUAGAAUAAGAAUUAUCUGAAUAAUAACAUUUUAAUAGGAAAACGAAUCCCAUGGGAAGUGUAUAGGAUUGGCUACGGCAGACCAUCACUAAGAUCAGGGUUUGUCGCCCCUCUCUAUUAAAUCGAGCUAUCCGAGCCUUGUCAUUUAUCGGGUCAUUUAUAAGCGCUAACUAGUCUUUAAACCGACUCAUAAUUUUUCCAAGCCCAAUAAAUAUUUUCUUAUGUCCAAAAUAUUAUUUAUUCAAUUAAUUAAUUAAUUAAUUAAUUUCUCUACCCAAUUAUAAUUCUGUUAAAGUCAUGACGACUUUAUCGUACUAGAAUUAAUGAGGAAAUUAAUUUAAUUAACCUGUUCUUAAGAAACUAUGAUGAUUUAAUUAAUUUAAUUUCUACUUCAAACUUCAAUUAUUUAAUUUUAAAUUAAUUAAAUAAUAAUUCAAAUAUAUAAAUUAAUUCGUAAGUCAUCUCUUAUUCACUGCAGAUAGUGAUACAUGUGAUCUAUUUCCCUAGUUCGCCAUUUCACAUUUUUCAUUUCAUUAAUUAAUGCAAAGCAUCAACGUUAUAUCGAGAUGACUGGGGGACCGGUUAGACAUAUAUAAUUAGGGCUAAAAUAAUUUUUAAUUAAGUUUCGACUCUUUAUCUAUUAAUUACAACAUUAUUUAGUCAUGAAGUCAUUCUACUAAAGCAUCAUUAUUGAGCUCUCCCCAUUAUAUAUACCCUUACAAAUGCUACUUUAGUAAGUGCUUAUCCAAUGAACUUGUUAUAUGCAUGUUACACUCAUAGAAUAUCCUUAAUCUCUUUGAGAUAAAUUUGUUCUCCAAAUAUGAUCCUAUUUUAUCUCAUGGUAACCAUUACAUAUUUCUUCAUGAAAAGUCAAUUACUAACAAAUAGUAACUAAAUCAUUUAUCCUAAGAAAAAUGAUCUGUGGCCACGAUACUUUCCAUCUAUCAUGUAAUAUCAAUGAGAGGAUAUCAUUUAUCUUUAUUAGGCUAUAAAUUUCACUUUUGUAAGUGAAGCUAUGUCAUGUAGAAAUCGUAUACCCAACAUACCAGCUUUUGGCUCUAUUACUAAUUGAAUAUAGGCUAUCAAUACAUCAAAGUAUAUGAGUUACACACACAUAAUUCGUCACUUCCUCUGGAUUAAGGUAAGUCACACUAUGAACGUCACAAGUGCAUAAAUCCAUAAACGGAUAUAGGAUCUAUUCUACUUGGUCUUAUCCGAUGUAUUGCCAGUCCAGUCAGUCACAUCUAUGUCUCUAUCUUCUGGGAGUAGUCCACUUCAAUACCUAAGACAAGGUAUCUCCCUAUUUGGACUUGAUAGAUGACAUAUUAGUCUUUUUAAUUGACUUGCUCAAUUUCAAUUAGACCAAGGAUGUGUUUAGAUUAUAAACUAAUAUAAGUCGUCUUCUCGCAUUAUAAUCCGACCACGUAAUGCAACUUAGUAUUGGUUAAACAUUAGAUAAUCAUUUAGCCAAUAUUUGCUUUCAUUUUACUUCGCGUAUCCAUUGAGGACAAUAUACAAAAGAUAUUAAUGAUAUGAUGGAGUUUUAUUAAACCAAUUUGUUUUAAAAAUUACAAGUUUAUAGACGUAAUCACUACACUAAGGGCAUUAGAUUCCAUCAUUCUUAAAUAUUUCUCUCAAAACUCAUGAUAAUUUAUUAAAGGCAUAAUGAUAAAUUUUUUAAUAAUGUUUGCAUAGCAACCAUGUGGUAGUCCAGGUGUACUUCAUUCUAACAUGACAUUAUUUGUCUUAUAUGUCAUGUCAACAAUUUAAAAAUUAUAAAUAUUAAAAUAUAAAAUAAAUUCAAUAUUCAAAAAGAUUAUAAAAAGUUCAUAAAUUCAAAAAAAAAAUAGCAUAAAGUUAAUGUGGAUUGUCAUGUGGCUGUCAAGUUUAAAUAUUGGCAUAAUUACAAAUUAAGCCCUUAAUGCUUACUUCUUUUGUCAAUGUGACCCUUUUUCUAUUUUUUUUAGUUAAAAUUGACAUUCAACCUUUUUAAAAGAUUUGAAUUUGAUCAUCAACCUUUCAAAAAGAACCGAAUUGUUGUUUUUUAAAUGAAAAUUUGACUCAAACUUUAAAUUUUUAAACAUGUCAACCUGCAUGACAGUCUACAUGAACUUCAUGUUUUUUUUUUUGAAUUUUUAUGAAAUUUUUUUAAUUUUAUAAGGGAAAAUCUUUGAUACACUUCUAGUGAAGUUUUUUAGACUCCACAAGGGUCAAGGUGAUGACAAGUGUCCUAUAAGGGUAUAGUAAAAUAUUUUUAAAAACUAAUAUAUAUAUUGAUUUGGGCCUAGAAGCGGAAGAUCGGGUAACCUGUGAAUCCAACGAGUUGGUUUAUAAUAAUUCAUGAAGGAAAUUACCAUAUUUCCGCAAGUCAAUUAGAUGUGAAAUAUAAAAAUUGACUUUUUUUUUCAUAGUCGCACAAGAGGUUUUGUUUUUUGUUGGAAGCCCUCUUUUUUUUUUUAAGGAAUUGCUUAGUCGUAUAGUAAAAUAUUUUUAAAAACUAAUAUAUAUAUUGAUUUGGGCCUAGAAGCGGAAGAUCGGGUAACCUGUGAAUCCAACGAGUUGGUUUAUAAUAAUUCAUGAAGGAAAUUACCAUACUUCCGCAAGUCAAUUAGAUGUGAAAUAUAAAAAUUGACUUUUUUUUUUCAUAGUCGCACAAGAGGUUUUGUUUUUUGUUGGAAGCCCUCUUUUUUUUUUUUAAGGAAUUGCUUAGUCGCCUAGUAACAAGUAAGAGUAGUCGAUAGUACUAGAUAUAGAUAAAAGAAAAAAGAGCAAGGAAUAAAAAAAUUUCUACUAAUCAAUAUUUGUGAGGCAGCCUUUCUUGUAUUCUUGUAUUAGAUCCAAAAGUUUUUUCUUGACCUAAUUCUAAAGAUGAUGAAUCGAUUUCUUUUUCUUUUCUACUUUGGUCCAGCCGCUCUAUUUUUGUGAAUACCGUUUGUAAUGAUUGAUGAAGCAAAAAAUUUCAAUUGAACUUAUUAUUUCAAUUGGUAUUUUUGCUUAUAUAUAUAUAUUUAAGGGACACAUGGCAAUGUUUUAAGGCUGCUUAUGGAACAAAAAAAAGUACACUUAAUGUACCAAAUACCUUUUUUAUAAUUUUAGAUUUAUUUUAUGUUUUGAAUAUUUUUAUAAUUUUUAAAUUAUAUGUUGGCAUGACAUAUAAGACAAAUAGUAUUAUAUUAACAUGAAGUACACACAACUGGCAUUCGGGUUGUCAUGCUAACAUUGUUAAAUAAUUAAUGUUUAGUUAGCAUUUCCAUUAAAAAUAGUGGCUUAAUUAUUUUUGAAAGAUUAAUGACCAAAUUUAACUCAAAAAAAAAAAAGUUAAAUUGACAAAAGAUGUCAAUAUUAAGAUGUAAAUUUAUCAUUAUACCAAAAUUUUUUAAGGUUUUAAUCAGCAUUUUUGUUAAAAAAAAAACCAACUCGAAGGUUGAUGGUCAAAUUAGACCUUUUAAAAAAGACUAAGGGCCAAUUUUAAUUAAAAAAGAAUAAUGAUCGAUUUGGCAAAAUAUAUAAGCGCUAAAAGCUAAUUAGACAAAAGAUAUAAGCUUAUACCUCUAUUAAAAUCAAGAAUCUUCUUCAACCAAAGUCAAUAAGAAGACAAAAAAAUAGAUGGUAAGUUGUUUGAAGCCGGAGAUUUGUUAAGUAAAUCUCACAAUUAUUGAAGCAAAACAAAGAAAAAUACUUAUAAAACAAGAUGAAUUAAACUAACAAAUGAAUGAUCUAUUUACGGUAUACAAAAUGGAGGGAUAAACAAAACAAAAUCCAAACAAAAAUGAAACAAAGUCCAUAUUUUUAUUGAAAAUGAGAGAUUAUCCCAAAAAUAAAACUAAAAAAAUAAAGAUUUUUAACUUAUCUAAAAAUACCUUUUUCUGAAAAAAUUACAAAUAAAAAAAAAUUCUGAAAAACCUUUCGUUUUUAUCUUAUUAUUAUAUAGUUAAUAUAUAAUUAUCAAAAAAGCCGUAUCGAAAUUAAUUCAUUUGCAUCUGGGCAUUCUUUGAUCAAGUUCGUAAAAUAGUUUUUAUAAUUUUUAAUAAAAUGUUAUAUUUUAAAAAGAUAUUUUAGAUUUUAGAUUUUAGUUCUAAAAUAAUAAUAUAAGAAAAGUGAUUUCAUUAAAAAAAUUAAAAUAUACAAAAUCACAAAUAGCUUUCCAAAUCCAUGUGAAACUAUUUAUCCAAAUUCAUUCAUUUAAAAUUUAUUUUAUAAAUCUAUCUACUUUAAAUAAAUAAAAAAAGGAUUGAUUGUUUAUUAAUGUUUACCACCGUGUUAUCUAGUUAUGUUAUUAGCUAUCAAUGCAGAAUUAAAAUUUAAAUACUAAACAGAUCCAAGAAAAUAGCUACCUAUGACCAAAUUGAAACAAUGGAGUAGUUAUAGUAGUCAUUUAUAAGCUUGGAGAUCUUAUCUGCUGGUCAGGGUGUUCGCCUUCCCUUCAAAUUCAAACGCUCGGCAUUAAAUUUAUUCAACAAAGAAAAUGAUAAUUAAUACAAUUGAUCUGAAAUUACAACAAAGACGAUUUUCUUAUAUUUUAUAUAUAUAUAGAGAGAGAGAGAGAGAGAAGAGAAGUCUAUAAAAGCAAAAAUAAAUGAAACAUAUGGCAUGGUGCAGGUUCCGUAAACUUUGCGAAAUCUACUUGCUUCCUGAUUAACGUAUAUUAAUUUACAGUCAUACACGAAAACAAAAAAAAUUUACUCCUUACCAAAUCGCCUCAUUCCUUGAUAAAAGUUCCCGUGAGUUUGGACCGUGUCAUCAUUGCGAACCCAUAACACUGCUACGGCUGUUCUUGCACCUUCUGUUUCAAGAAGGAACCAUUCCCAAUUAAAAAUAGCUCGAUUCUUCAAAUGAGCUAUUUAUACUUUACAGGUUUUAAGAAAGUUCUUCCUUGUUGAACUUGUUCCAAGCUUCCUGUUUCAAUGCAUAUAUAUAAAUUAAAAUCCAAAAGCCACAAGAACCGUUGUCAACUAUAUUUUAGUUUAGAACCACCCAUGUAUAACCAAAACUAUAGUUUGUAUUAAAAUGAUUACAAAACAAGUCUACUCAAUUGAAAAAUCAAUCCAUUUCAAAUAAGUUUUACUCAAAGAACCAUCACAAUGGCUAAUUACUUGGUAGACUGACUAGACCCACCACACCAAAAAUCAGAGUUUUGAACUUCAUUUUUCGUAAAGGACGCAAUGUGUUCAUUGAGGAUACAACUAAUGUUAAAAAUGAUUCCUUGUAAAUGACAGUGAAACUCAUACAGUACCUUGAGAAUAUCGAAAACCUUUUCAGCAAUAUAUUUCUGUUCAAGAGUGGCACCUUUCUGCUGAACCUUAUCAGGGUGGACACAUAAUGUGGCCUUUCUAUAAACUUUUUUGACUGAGCCAGAGGUAAUCAAAUCAGUCAAUGAAACUGGCUCCCAACCACAUUCAGGCCAAAGUACCUAUUUGUUAAGGUAAAAGGUUAGUUAUGCGAACCAAGAAGCCAAAUGUUCUAGAUAUUCAAUAAUUAUUUCAAAAAAUUACACAGAUAAUUUCUUAUUAGAAGAAAAAAGCAGAGAAUAGGAAAAUGAUGAGUAACACACCUGUUCCAUUGAUGAAAGCAGUGCACGCAUAUUGCCUUCCUUCCCUGCAGCCCAGCGUUUUAUCUCAAAAUCCAUAGCUUCAGCAAUCCUCUAUCAAAAUCAAGGCAAAAAACAAACUCCUUAAAAUUCAAGAAUUCAUAAAAUAUAAAUAAAGAAAUGGUGCAAAAGCAUGUAAAGCGCAUGCAGCCAAGAAGAAUAAGAAACCCCAUGUCUAAUCUACAAUUAAGGCAUCGACUGAACUACUUACAUAUCUCUCUUCUUGCUCAUUCUGUGAUUGACGAUCACGCUGAUUCAUAUCAGCAACUGCUCUUGCCUGGCACAAAAACAACCUAGAACUGCUGAACUAUGUUUUACAAGGAAAAUAUACAAACUUUAAAAUACACAAACACACAUACAAAUAUAUAUAUACAGAGAGAGAGAGAGAAUGGUAUAGCAAUAAAGGAGCCAUGGUAAGUAUUUGCCUGGCAUUUCUGCCAGCACAUUAUGCAUAUCCAAGAUCAAGGUGACAUAGGUAAGUCUUACGAAAGGAACUAAAGGGUCUGCGAUUCAGGUUAGCAGCAAUGUGAAAACUACUCAAAUAUACAUGGAAGAGCUAGAUGAUUGGCAUUUCUUUGAAAUUUUGUCCUGGAAAAUUAGCCUUGUGCUUGGGUUAACACCCUAUUGGAGGCCUCAGGCUAUGAAGUAUUUACUUGUGUGUUUAUACAUGUGAGGGAGCAUGAGCGAAAAAAUCAGAAACUUAUACCUUUGCUGACAUCAGACUGUACUUUCCUUACCAGUAAAUUUCUUCUUAUACUUCUACUAAUCAAUGUUGUUAAGGGGCUUGCUUAGGCGUUAAGGCAGAGCGAAAAAUCAACAUUAAGCUUUUAACAUUCUUAGGCGAAGCGAUUUUACUGGGUGCUUGCCUUAAUGUGCUUUUACUGCGCUUUGGGCUCUAAGCUAGGCAACAAAAAAGCUAGCUUGAGUGAAGCAGUGAGCCAAUUUUAAUUUUUGUUCUUUUUAAACUCAAAUACCCCCACAUAAUAGAGUGAAGCGGUGGAGACGCAACCUUUUUUUUUUUUUUCAACUCAAAGACCCACUCAAUAGAAAAAUAUUUUAAGGGAAAAAACCCAAAUACCCAUUGAAGCAACUUUAAACUUUUAAGUUUCUUUUUCCUUUUCUUAUUUUCUAAAGAAAACCUGAAAUAUUACUAAUUCCUAAGCUGACUUUUAACUUUUCUUUUUUUCUUUCUUUUUUAUUUUAAAACUCAAAAUAUUAUUAUUUUUCUUUAUUUUAUUAAUUAUAAACCUACUAUUCCUCAACUUUAUUAGUUAAAACCCGAUACAGACACUACGAAGCAAAAGGUAAACAUGGUUUUUUGGGUUAAUAUGUGCCAAUAGUCUCUGUACUUAUAUUUCUAGGAAUUUAGUCCCUCUACUUCUCAGAUUUCCAAAUUCAAGUCUAACGGGUUAACACUGUUUCUUUUUUUUUUUUUUUUUUGUUAAAUUCAUUGCUGUGAUAUUUUGAAAUAGAAAAACUACUCACUUGGUAGCUAUAUAAUUAAAAAAAGAUAUUGUAAUGAACCUGAUUUUAACACACAAAAAAAAGUUUAACUAAGUAUUAACAGUUGGACUUGAAUUUUGAGAUCUAAAAAUUAGAGGCACUAAACUCUUGGAAGUGCAAGUACAGGGACUAAAUUCCUAAUUUUCGAAUAGUACAGGGACUACAAGCAUAUUUUAACCUUUCUUCUAAUCCUCUAUCAAUUCUAUUAUUUCUUAUUCUUUUAGUUCUUUUUCUCCUCUAUUUUAUUUUCCUGUUGCAAUUUCUUUGCAAUAAGUUUGGUAAUAUAAAUUCCAAGCAAAAGAUUAAUAUCUUUCUUUUUUUUUAACCAUUAUUGUAAUGGCGAAGACCUGAAAGUAAUGUAUUUUUUAUUUAUUUUUUAACUAACAGACCAACCAUAAUACAAUGUAAUAUGUAUUUAUAUGUAUAUGCAUGCGCCUUAUUUUACUCAGGCGAGUGCUUUUUUUGCGCCUCGGGCUAUAUAGAGGACUUUGCACCUUGAGUGAGCCUAGCAUCCUUGACAACACUGCUACUAAUCUAAUUGACGCCUAAUAAUGAAAGAGCAAAAAUAAACUUUAAGGUGAGAGUAUACGCACCACUCUGUCCUGGGUCCUUUGAUGACGUCCCAAUCUGGCCCUUCGUCUUUCUUCACUUUCCCCAUCAACUUCCUCAAAUUCUCCAGACAUUGAGGCAGCUAUUGGAAACAAAAAUUAUAAAAAAGAUUAACAUCAAAGAGCUAAUGUACAAAUAUAACUUCCAUAGCUAGACAUAGUCCAUUUCUAUAUUUCAGCAACAUAAAAUACCUCCAAAAAUAAAAGAGGGGUCAUCCAUUCCAUUCAUCAUAGUGACAGGAGAAGCCUUCUUUGCAGUGGAUGGUGCACCUGCAGAUGUCUUUUGCUGUCUGUUGUGCAUAUUUUUAUCAAAUAUAGGGUCCUAAUAAGAACAUAAAGAAAGAAGCGAUAUCAAUGAAAAGUUCCGCAGUUUUCAAUAAGUGGUGUACUUUUACAUCUAUAGUGCUCACCAAAGUAGUUGCCCUUGUCUUUGGUGCACUAUUUGAUCUGGAACUCACACCAAAAAAGGAUUCCAGGUCAUCUUCUCCAUUUGAUUGAGUCUUUUUCGUAGCAUCUUCAGCUUCUUUAGAUCUACUAGACUUAUUGUGCGCUCUCCCCAUGGCAAAGUCCUGAAGUUCAUCUAUCAGAGAUGCACCAGAACUCUUGGCUACAUCAAGAAUGCUCUCAAUAAGCUAAUGAUGGAAUCAAAAAAGAAUUAUCAAAUUGAGCUUUAUUUUUUUUCUGAAGGAUGAAGAACAACCUUUCUCUUCUUUAGAAACUUGUGCUGGUUUUGGAGGAGACCUAAAUGAUUGUGAAGCAUUUGAAGAACCACGAAGCUUUGUUCCUCCAGAUCGAUUAAGAAUGCUGAAUUCUCCCAGUGGAUCCGUGGGCGUUUCUGAGAAAUUAUAUUCUGUGCCGAAAUCAGAGUCUAAUACAACAAAAGGUUCCUCUGAUGAUCUGGUUGACUUGGUUGUCUUAACAUUAGUCCUACAUAAAGAAAAAUAAAAUAAAAUAAGCAAAUAAGAAAUUCUAAUUUCUACAUACUAACAUCAUAAUUCUACAUACAACAAAAGGUUCCUCUGAUGCAGCAGCUACUUCAUAACAUCCACCAGAAAAUAUGUGCACCAAAUGUGUGAUACAAAAUCAUAGUUAUCGCUGAAGUCAAAUACAAAACAACAGGGUCCAAAGAUUACAGAUUCAAUAUCUUUUCCUUCCUAACCAGGACCACUAGCUCAACAAUAUCCAUUGCAAUAUUGCCUAUGAAUGUAUAGCAAGUAAUAGAUUGCAAGCAGUCACAAUUUUAUGUUUAAGAAGCAAAUAAGAGAGAAAAUAAAUAGUUCCGAAAUCAUGAGCUUUUUGUUGCCAAUAUUGAUCUUGACCGAACAUCUACACACAGCCAUAACAUUGUCCAUGAUUCAUGAAAAAAUUAUUAUUCCGAUCCAUAAAAUUAUCUUUCAUAUUGUAUUCUUGAAGACUUCAGAGCUACUUAUCCAAACUAAUCCCCAAAAUACAAAUUUUGUAUCAGAAAAAAGUAACAACUCUUACAAGUCACAAUUAUGAAAACAACUAUUGUCCAUUAUUCUACCAAUGCUUGAUUUCUUAACUAAAAACCAUUAUUACCCAUCUCCAUUAUCAGCAAUACACUAAUAAUACAGAAGAAUCAAACGGCAAAUAAUUCAGCUAAAACUUUAACACUCAAAUCAACACUAAUCACGCAGAAAAUAUAUACAAUUUUUAGUGAACAAAUCAUAUUCAUUUUCAGCAAGUAUAAGUACCUAUUAACUGAAGGGCUGCUUGCACCGAACCCGGGUAUCAAAUCAUCAACACCAGCCUCAUUAUUCGCCGAAUCCCACGAUCCAUUCCUGCUAGAACUCUUCAAUUUCGCCGCCACGCCACUAAAAUCACCCAGCAAGUCACCGGCAGAACCCUUUUGCCUGGUGGAAGAGACGAAGGAUCCAAAAUCAUCAUCGUUAUUUGCAUUUUGUGAGACGGGCAUUCCUCCAAAUAAAUCAUCAACAACGUACGAAUUCGCAUAUGAAGAUAUUGAGCCUGAAUUCAAUAACAUUGAAGCCAAAUCGAAAGAUGAUCCGUUACUACUACUGUUAUUAUUACUUGUAUUAGAUUGCUUCGUCGUGGCGUUUUGAAAACCACCAAAAUCGUCGCCCAAACCAAAAAAAUUACGGGAGUUUUGCUUGGGGAAAAAGUCGUGAUCGUCGAGCAAAGAACCGUUACUGGGACCCGAGUUCCGCGAGGAUUUUGAAGAGAACGACAUGGGGUUUCGGUUCGAGCCUGAAUCGAACCCGAAACCCCAGUCGGUGGUUGCGGUAGCAGCGGCGGUGGCGGUGGAUCGUUUGCCCUGCGACAUCGGAACCGAUUUUCCUUGCGGUUUUAAGCCGUAACGCUCUGUUAAAACGCCAAAUUCGUCCAUAAUUUCACACUCUUUAUCAAAAAACCAAAUGGAUAGAUAUCUUCUGUGUAAAUCAAAUAUAUGGGUAUUUCCCAGAAAUGAAUUCCAACAGAUCUAGGAAUCCGAGAUUGAAGACUUGCUUUGGGCAAAAAAAAAAGGAAGAAAAAAACAAUAUAAAAUCGGGUUUUCAAUGAAAUUUUAUCAUUUUGAGGGCAGAAAAAUUUAUCUGAGAAUGAGAGAAACGAAGAGAGGGUUAGGAUGCAAAACAAGAAACGAUGAAAGACACAAAAAUGGCGAAAUUCAACAGAGGGAGAUGAAAAUUUUCAGAGGAAGACGAAGAAAAGGUCUUUUCUCUCCGAUUCUUCCCCUCUCUUUCUUAGCUGAGUGAUGGGCCAUCAUAUCUGCCGGUCUUUUUUAUUUUUCAUUUUAAGUGCUAGAAAAUAUAAAAUGAUAAAUAAAAAAUUGUCAAUUCAUCCAAAAAAGUAAAUAAAUUGUCAAUUUAUCAAUUGGCAGAUGAAUUUUUAAAAUACUCCAGCAAUAAUAUAUGGGAAAAAAUAGAUAAAUUUUGGUUGAUAAAAAUAAUAGAAAAACAUAAAAAAAAAAAUUGUUAAUUUACUGAUAUAAUCUUACAACAGACUAACAAAAUAAAUAAAUAAACAGCAAACAUUUAAUCAUUGAAGAAAUAAAUUUUUCAUCCUUCCUGGUUGUUAUCAAUGAAGCAUUUCAAAUUUUGCUUUUAAGACUUUCGAAAUUAAAUAACUUCAAUUUGAAAUUUAAAAUUUAAAAUAAAUGGAAUGAAAAAUAGGCUAUUUUACCAAAAAAAGUCUUUUUUUUUUCAAUAUUUACCGAAAUGGGCCGGGUUUUUAAUUAUUUAUCGGAAUGGGUCAUUUUUCGCGAAAUCACGGCCACGUAAGCGCGAUGUCAGGGUACGUUUCAGGACAUCGCGUCCACGUCAGCGCGACCUGCUGACGUGGACACAAAUCGCGCCUUCUAGGACGCGAUUUGCUGACGUGGCAUGAACAGUUUAUGUUUUUUAGCUUAAAAAACUUUGAAAGGCCAUAACUUUUAGCUCGGUUGUCCGAUUGAGACGAUUUUUUUUAUUUCGAAUAACUUUUUGAGAUCUACGCGUUAACAAACUGCUUAGAGAUGAAUAGGGACUAAUUUGUAAAGUAUAAUUUGUUAGUUAAAAGUAUAGGGACGAAAGUGUAAUUAUUUCAAAAUUAGCAUGAAAUUUUUGUAUUUAAGAAUAUUUGAAUGUUAUGGAAGGAUGAAUUUGAAUUUGAAUUGAAAAACGAAGCUUAGAUUUAAAAAUAUGACUAUUUAGGUUUUACGGACUAAAUUGAAUAAAAUGGAAAAUUUUAGGGAACUUCUCAAAAGUGGAAUGAGCUGACUUAUACCUAUAAUAGGAUGAUAUAAGACAAUUCUGUAAAAAAAAUCCGGUGUUUACUUCAAAUAAAUAAGGAAAAUAAUGAUUUGAAUGUUUCAAAAUUCAAUUUUAAACCGAAAAAAUCGAAAUUUAGGGGCAAAAAAGGAUCUUUUUCGACGAAAACUGCUGCAAACCGCCUUUGGCAGGUUUGUCAGCGUGUAGAUCUCGAAAAUUUAUUCGAAAUCAAAAAAAAUCAUCUCAAUCGGACAACCGAGCGAAAAGUUAUGGCCUUUCAAAGUUUUUCAAGCUUAAAAACAUAAACUGUUCAUCCACGUCAGCAAAUCGCGUCCUCGUAGGCGCUAUUUUUUUCCACGUAAGCAAAUCGCGCUGACGUGGACGCGAUGUCCUGACACAUACCCUGGCAUCGCGCUGACAUGGACGCGAUUUCCCGGAAAAUAGCCCAUUCCGGUAAAUAAUCAAAAAAUCGGCCAAUUUCGGUAAAUUUAAAAAAAACGGCUUUUUUUGGUAUUUUACCCUAAAAAAUACGACUAAAGUAUUUUAUUUUUUUAUUAAAAAUAAAUAAAUUAAUCCAUAUAUAUUAAAAAAAUAUAAAUAUGUUCAAAAUUUAUUAUUUAACAAUGACAGGGAAAGUAAGGCCAUUACAUUAGGAGUUAUUUGGCAUUUUGUUCCUUCUAUUUAAAAAAUGAAUAAAUUAAUCUAUUUACGUUAUAUCAAAGAGUAAAAUAAACCUAUUAAAAAUUCUAUACAUUUUUACUAUUAAGUGCUGAUGUGAUUAUUGAAACAAUCAUAUAGUGAAACAUGAUAUAAUUACACGUGAACCUCAUGUUGCGUGAUAAUAUUUAAAAAAUAAAUAAUUUAUAUAAUUAUUUAAAAAUUAUAUCUUGUAUCACAUUUUAGAGUGAUUUCUUAAAUAAUUAUUAAAUAAAUAUAACAUAUUAUAGAAAAUUAUUUCAAGAUUAUUGAGAAUUAUAAAUAAUUAUUAAUUUUGUAAAAAUUAGUAAAUAUUAUAAAAAUUAUUUAUGAAUUUAAAUUUUUUUAAUCGAGUUGAUAUUUUUAAUUAAUGAAUCCUAUUUUAUAAAUUUAUUAUAAUUCUUAAUUUUUUUUAUAAUUCAAAUAUAUAUACACUUAUAUAAUGUAACCUUUCGUGAUAUUUUUAUUAUUAAUUCUUUAAAAUUUUAAAAAAAUAUUUAUAAUUUCUUAUAAAUAUUAAUAUUUUUAUAAAAAAUUAUAAUUUUGUAUAUUUUUAUAAUUAUUUAAGCAAUUGUUCUAGAAUGAAUUUAGACAAAUUAUGGUCUAGGCUCAUUUGAACUUCUAUUUGUCCAAGUUCAUUUAGGAUAUUAUUUUAAAUAUUUUUCUAUAAUUUCUUAUCAUUUUUAAUAUAUUUUUUAAAACAUAUGGUGAUGUGACAAAUGCUACAUCAGUAUGAGGUACAUAUGACACACCAUAUGUCACUGUCUAGUUACUUUAUUAUCCAAGUCAGUAAUUAAUAGUAGAAAUGGAUAGAAUUUUUAACAAUACCAGUUUACUCUCUGAUCUAAUGUAUAAAGAUUAAUUUACUCAUUUUUUAGUAGAGGGACAAAAUGUAAUCAAACUCCUAGUAUAAGGGCUUACAUGGUAUUUUUACCUAAUCCUAGUAUCCUACUCAUCCUCUAAUUUCACAUCACUUACAUAAAAAAAUGAAAAAAAAAAACACCAAAUCUUCGGUACUUAACCACACAAAUAGAUGGGAUUUUGACUAAAGGACCAAAAUUUGCUUCUUCUUCUUUUUUUUUUUUGUUUCUAAUGUACAGAGGAGGCGAAUUUUCCCAUUUAUGAGUAGAGAGGACAAAAUACAAUUUAAAUCUUAGUACAAAUAUCUCUAUAAUAUUUUUAUCAAUUAGAGCUGCUACAUAUCAGUUCAAACUUCAAGCCGAUCUAAUAUUCAAAAAUAUUUAACAAAAGUAUUAAGUUUUAAAAUGAGUUUUAAUAACAAAAUUAAGUUUGUUUAAAACAUAAUCUAAGCUUGAGUCCAGCAUUCAAUGUGGAAACCUAGUUGGAUUCAAAUUGUUUUUAAUUUCAUAAUAUAUUAUUUGAUUUGAUUUUAUAUAUUAUUUAAUUUAUAUCACAUAAAAAUCAAAUAUAAAUAUUAAAAAUAUAUUGAGUUAUCAAUGUUUAAAGUUUUAAUAAAAAGAAAUAGAUAAAAUUAUAAUAAAAAUAGAAAAACAACCUAAUUAAUUAAAAAAAGUAUAGUUGAAUAUAAAACAGGUUUGUAUGAACUAUUUAGAAAGAUGGGUAAGUUUAAGUAAAAUUGGAAACCAAUAUGUUGGGUAACCACAAGCUUAGAUUAGUGUAGAUCAUAUUCACACUCCACAAUGAGUAUAUAAUAUAUAUAAGUAUGGAGCUGAGUGAAAUUUUUUUGAGUUAAGUGAAUUUAUAAGUCCUAUUUUAUCAUUUUAAUUCGAUUUAAAAAAAAUAUUCAAUUCAAGUCGAGUGAUAUGAGAUUUAAGUCAAGAUGAGUUGAAUAAAUUUGUUCAAGUUAAAUUAAAAAAAAAACCAUAAAUCUUAUUGACAACAUGACUAAAUUCCAAGUUAAAGAAUAUAAACACAAUGUAUAUUUGAAAACUCUUUUAAAACAAAAUAAGAAAAAAGAAAGGAAAUUUUAUAUGAUAAAGUUGGUUUGAAAAUUUACUCGUUUAAGGGCCUCACAUUUAUCAUUUUUAAUUUUUUUGAAGAUUUUUCAGUAAAUUUUUAAUAAAUUUUAAUUUUUUAAUAUAUAUUUAUAAAAUUGUGGAAAAUUUUUUAUAAAUAUUUUGAAUAUUUUGUAAUUUUUUUAAAGGGACUGAUUCGUAUAUAUUCAAAACAUCAGGGACUCAAUGAUUAUUUAUAUCAAUUUAUUAUUUGAGUUAUUCAAAAUAUUCGAGUUGAUUCAAAAGGAAUCAAAUAACUUGAUUUGAUUAAUUAAAAAUUAAAAAAAUAAUGAUUUCUUCAAUCCAAUUGAAUUUUUCUCAACUUUGUAUCUAUUUAAGUAAAGUAUGUGUAUAAAAAAGGUUGAAAUAUGCCAUAAGUUCCUGUAUUAUUCACAUAUUUGAAAUUUAGUCUUUAUACUUUUAUUUAUAAGAAUUUAGUCUCUCUACUUUUCGAAUUUCAAAAGUCAAGUCCAACUGUUAACACCAUUAAAAUUAUUUUAUUAAAUUCAGGUUAAUUACAAUGUCAUUUUUUAGUUAUAUGGAUAUCAAGUGAGUAUUUUUACUAUUUUAAAAUAUCACACUAACAUUUAAAAAAAUUAACAAUAUUAACAAUCAGACUUAAAUUUUAAAAUUCAAAAAAAAUUAAAAAUUAAAAUUUUUAAAUUGAAAGAAAGAAGCAUAAAAACAAAUGAAUAAAGAAAGAAGCAUUUUCACAAAUUUCUCAAAUGAAUAAAAUCAUAUAUUACAGAGCUGGAUUGUUGUCUAACCCAAAGCAUCGAAUAGAAUACAAUCAGAACGAAAGUGAAAGAAAAUAUUGACAAAAAUUGAAGGUCCACUAUGAAUGAUUGUUUGUAGUGACAUUAAUGACUCAAUUAUGGAGCGUAUGUGAUUUCUGCUUCCUAAAAUCCAAUCUCUAGGUGUGGUUUUUGGUAUGACUGUCGGUGCUUACUUUUGUGGCCUUGCCAGGUAUUACACACCCGCCUGCCAGCAGUAAUGAGAGAGUUCGUUGGGGUUCCAUAUAUUUUAUUCUUUGGUUUUUUUUUAUAUACAUGACAUGUGAAAAAACGACUAAAUUAUAUAUUUUUUUUUGCCAUAUGUCAAAGUGUGAGUUUAUAACGUGUUACUAUGCUAUUUAUUAAUGUCACGUCAACAUAUUUUAGGGUAAAUUAUAUUUAUGGUCAUUUUUGUUUAUCUUAAGUUAUAUUUUAGUCAUUUAUUUUUAAAAUAUUACAUUUUAAUCACUUAUAUUAUCAUGUUGUAACAUUUUAGUUAUUGAGCCGUUAAUUUCUAUUAACGGUAUAACAGUAAUCUAACGUAGCACGUUCAUCUAUAACAACUCAGUUUUAGUUAAAUCAGAACAGUAGUUUUGGAACCACAAAUAUGAGGUCGGAAAAUUAUUUUAAUAUUAUUUUUUGUGUUUAUAGUAUGUGAUUAUAUAUGUGUGAAAAUUUCGUGAGCUAAUUUUAUUGUUUAAUUGCUCAAUUUGAGAAAAAAGACUUAAGCGCGUGAAAUGUAAAAGUUGCAUUCUACUUGUUAAAGGUAUUAAAUAGCUAUGGAAUAUUAAUUAAGGUCCUUAUGUAGUAAUUAAACCAUUAAAAAAGUGGGUGGACAUUUAUGUGCAUGGUUAGUGGAAUUUUAAUGGUUUAAUAUCAAGGAUAAAAAGGUAAACUAGUAGAUAAUCUUAAGUAAAUAACAUAAAAAUUUAAAGUCAUCAUCUUUCUUAAGUUUGCUCCACCAAAAAUUAAAAGGGAGAAAGCCAUAGUUGAAGACCUAGGUUCGGCCAAAGCAUUUUUGUCUAUUAGGGUACAGUUUUUGUCUCGUUUUUAAUGAUUUUGACGUUUUUGUGAUCGUUGCAACUAGUACUAGUUAGCUCGUGUCUUCGAUUUCAAAACUGUUAAAGAUUUUGAUAGUUGUCAUUGAUGAGCUUAUGUGUUCUUUGAUGUUUAAUGGUGAAAUAUGAAUAUUUGAUGUUAGAUUCUCAUAUUUUAUAAAGUGAUUUUUGAUAAAAAUGCAAAUAGGGAUUAAAUUGUGAAAUGUGCAAAUUGAGGGGUUGAAAUGUGAAAUAAAUGAAAGUUAUGGGCUGCUAGGGAUACUAUAGUAAUUUGGCUAAGCUUGGGUUAUAUUGAAUUGUGUGAAUUUUUUGUAUUUGUGAAAUAGGAACUAAAUUGAUUAAAUGUGAAAGUUUAGGGGCUAAUGUGUAAAGAUGCCCAAAUGUGUGUUUUUGGACCAAAUUGAAUGAUUAUAUGAUUAAAUGAGUUAAUUUUGAAUACAUAUAGAUCAAGAAAAGAGGAAUCCGGAAUUAGAUCAGGGGAAAAUUAUCGAGUAAUCGAUCCGAUUCGUCAUUUCCGAGUACAAGGUAAGUUCGUAUGUGGUAAUUUCAUUAUAAAUGCAUGUUAAAUGCUUUUAUAUUGCAUAAACUGUGAUUAAGAGAUUAUGGAUAUUGUUUGAAUUGUGACUAUGACUCUAUGAAUAUGUUCGAUGAUGAAAUCGACAAGUGUAACUUCCUGGUUGAACCUUAGGAAUAUAGGAUAAUAAUGACACGUCAUUAGGUUAUGUGUUGGCUUCGGGCCAUGAUAUUGACACUACAGGUGUGAGUAAUACCUUGAUUUGGCUAUGGGCCAUGGUAUAGGUACUCCGGGAUAAGUUACCUUGAUUUGGCUACGGGCCAUGGUAUAGGUACUUAUCGAUUGAGAUAUUCGAAUAUCUGAAUUCUAUUCUGAAUGGUUCAACGGGUAAAUGAAUGAGAUGAUUUAAGAAGAGGUUAGUACGAGACGAUACAGGUACGAACAGAACCUAUUUGAGUAUUUAAUAAAGAAAGAUGAUGAAAUGGUAUUUGAUCAUGUUUUAAGACAUGAGAAAGGUUUGUUGUAAUUGUAUAUAUGGUGAUGUUAUGUACAAUUAGUUGAAUUGUAUUUAUUUGAUGUAUUGAAUUAUUCAGUUACAAGCUUACUAAGCUAUGAAGCUUACUUCGCAUUAUUUUCUUAUGUUUUAUAGAGAAUCAAGGCUAGCUCGGAUCUAAAAGUCGUCAGGAAUAUCAUCACGCUGUCGGACAUCUAAGUUGGUACUUUUGAGUUAUGUAUAUAUGGUAUAUGACAUGUAUAGACUAGUUGUAGUACUUUGGUUGUGAAUAUAGUCAUGAGAAUUGGCUUGUAAACGAAUAUGUUUGCUUUGUAUAGAUAUAGCCAUGAAUGAUGGCUUAUUUUGGUAUGUUUUGGUAUAAAUGUGGCUAAAGUAUUAUAGUUGUUCAAAUGGUUAUAUUUUGAGUUUGGUAAAUGAUCUAUAUGGUGUGAUUGAAGUUGGUAAUUAGAGAAGUCAUGUGCUUGUGAAUAGAUGCUUGAUGAUAUAAGUUUUGAAUAGGUAUUUGGCAUUGACUUUUGAGUAUUGAAUUUCGUUGAAUAGGAUAUUGUAUAAAUGAUGUAUUUGAAUUUGAUUGAUUGACAAUUUAGUAUGAAGGUAUAGGCUAGUUUUGAUAUGGUUUAUUUUGAUUUGUACAUAUAUAUAGCCAUGAGAAAAUGGCUUGUUAAUGUUGCUAAAGCUUGUGUAUGUUAGGUAAUGUAAUUAGCUCAUUUCGAGAAGUAUGUUUUGAGCAAGUAUAAUGUUAUUUAGUUAUGAAAUGAUACCUAGUUGAGAUUUUGUUUUGAUAUUGGUAUGACCUAUAGAGGUUAAAUUGUUUGACUGAAUACCAUUUGAUGUGCCUAAUCAAUGAUGUUUAUUUGGUUGUAGUAAUGUUAACUAAUGAUGUCUAAACUGAUGCCAAGUUAAGUUGCUAAAAAAGGUAAUUGGAAAUUAAUAUGUGCUACAUUAAUAAGUUAAUUGAAUGAAAAUGUUGCUGUCCGAAAAUGCCAUUUAAAAUGUUUAAUAUAUGUAUGCCUAUUAAGUCGUUUGGGACAGCUUGACUUAGAUUAAGCAUUGCGAUAUAUAUAAUUUGAUAAUUCGAAUGUCUUGAUAGUUGAUCACAUGAUUCGGCUGUUGGAUUUAUAAAGCACGUGUUUUUUAAUGACUUUGAUGCAUGGUUCGUAUUAGUAAUAUGAUUAAUAAUGCAUGUUGAAUUAAUUGGUUAUAUGCUUUAUAUAUAUGUAUGAAAUUGACUUAUAUGAAUGAGUGAAUGGUUGCUAUCUGAAUUUGAUAACUAUUGUAAAGAAGUCAGUAUAAUUUGUGCAUGAAUUUAACAAAUGAUCGUGAUAAACUAUAUUUUGUUCGGUAAUGCCUCAUAACCCUAAUCCGACGACGGAUACGGGUUAGGGAUGUUACAAAUCAUCAUUUCAAACAAAAAUUUUAGGUUAAAUUAUACAAUUGGUCCCCAUAUUUUUUUUGUUUUAAGCAAUUCAAUUUUUUUCUUUUAUGUUCUUUAAACUUUUUUACUUUUUUCUUUAUUUUCCAUUCUCUUUUGCUUCUCCUUCUGGUUGCCUACUUCUCCAUUUCUUUUAACAUAUCAGGAAGUUGAAUUGGUAGUGAAGAAAGAAACAGGAAGUUGAAAGUCAUCAUUGUCUAUAACCAAAACCCAUAAACCCCUACUAUCUGCUAACCAUCAAAACCCUCCACCACCACCCAUCAUUUUCAUUUUACCACUAACACCUUCGCCACUACAAUGACCUCCUUUCAAAAACAUCUAAAAAAUCCCCAACUUUUGGACUACCCAAGAUCGAAUCACUGUUACCAGCCAUUAGAUCGGUUUGAUUUUUUUAUAUGUGCUCCUCGGUCACCGGUCAUUGUCUAAUUUUUGGUUCUUUAUGAUUUUUUACGGCUUAUUAAUUAUUAUUUACUUGGAUUCUUGAUUGAUAUAAAUAUGGGUUUAUUUUGUGAGGGGAUGAUAUUGUUGGGUUUGUCAUGAAUGAGGUCAUGGUAGUGGUGAAGGUGUUAGUGGAUGAAAUGAAUAUGAUGGGUGGUGGUGGAGGGUUUUGAUAGUUAGUAGAUGGUAUGGGUUUAUGGGUUUUGAUGACUCUCGACUUUCUGCUUCUUACUUCAUUGCCAAUUCGACUUCUUGACAUGUUAAAAGAAAUGAAAAAGGUAGGAAAACAUAAAUAGAAGCAGAAGAGAAUGGAAAAUAAAGAAAAAAAAUGAAAGUUUAAAAAACAUAAAAAAUUAAAUUGCUCAAAACGAAAAAAUAUGAGGACCAAUUAUACAAUUUAACCUAAAAUUUUUGUUUGAAAUGAUGAUUUCACGUGCCACAUCAGCUUAUCGUUACACUGUUAAUGACAAUUAACGACUCAGUGACUAAAAUGUUACAACACGAUAACAUAAGUGACUAAACAUAACAUUUCAAACAUACGUGACUAAAAUGUAACCUGAGGUAAACAAAGGUGACCAUGGAUGUAGUUUACCCCAUAUUUUAACAUCGUUUUAGUAUCUAAAGAAAGUACCAAGUUAGCUAACAAUUUUCAAAUUUACUUACCAAUUAGGUCCAAAAAAGAGUUUAGGUUCCAAAUAUGUAUAAAUUGCCAAAUUCAAGUUCAUAUAUAUAUAUACAAAUAUAUAUUAACCCUUAUUUAUAUUUUAAAGGUUUAAGGGUUAAAAAAUCCCUUAGUAAAGAAAUUAAUAAAACAAAUAAUUGAGCCCUUAUAAAAAAAUCAUUUAAUUGAGCCAUCUCUGACCUAAAAAAAAUUAAUUGGUCAUUGUCGUUAACGGAAAUCAUUAAUUGACAAGUUUGAUAGUUAAUCUUGUUGACGUGACGGAUGGAAACCACCAAUAACUACCACGUGAUUAUGUAUUGAUGUGACAUGUUGAUGUCAGCGAAAAAUUUAAAAAAAAUUUACAAAAGACAAUCUGUUUUUAGAAAAAUUAAUUGAAUAUAUGAAUUUGGACAAUCAUUUACUUAGAUUUAUUUUGGAUGAAUGCAAAAUUAAAAUAACUUUAAAAUUAUUUAUUAAAAUUACAAAAAAAUUAAAAAUAUAUAUAAAUAUAUUAAAUGUGUAAAAACUUAAAACCUAAAACUUAAAACUUAAUUUAUUAUUUUAUUAUAUUUUACUAAUAAAAGUUUGUAUUCUAAUAUAUUCUAAUAAUUGAAAUCUCAUUCCACAAAAUAUAUAUUUAAAAUAUAUAUAAAAAUUACUCAUUACUCUACAAAUUCUUUUUUGAUUUUAACAGUUUGCUAGAUAUUUCUUACAAAUAUCAUUUCCAUAUAUAAUUCCCAAUCUCUAUUAGUGCGGUUAAAGGUGGUGGUGAUGAAAGCAAUAAGGGUUGAGAAGAAUAAAAAUUGCGGUGGUUGUUGUGGCUGUAUAAAGAAGUUUGCUGAGAGAAUAUUUAGAGAGUUGAGUUUGCCAAAAGAUCAAAAAGUCCCGAAUGAGACACUCAAAUUUCUAUUUGUAAGCCUUGGAAAAGGAAGUUAUGAAGAAAAGGUGCACAUGAACAUGCUAAAAUGGUGGGUAGUGUGGUUACUUGAACAUGGGAAAUGGAAAGUAAUUUGUAUAGGUGAUGGGUAUUAUGACAUUUAAUGAAAAUUUUACCUACUUGAAGUAUUUUAACAAUGAAAGGCUUUUAAGUGACAAUGAAACGUUUGUUCAUUAAAGAAAUAAGAAAGAAGCACUUGCAUUGCCAAAGGAAGGUUAAGAAAAAGCUCUUAACAAUUUUUGUAUUUGAACCUCUAAGCCAUGCUCUCCAAACCAUCCCAAAAGUAGAAUAACCCAAGAAUUUUGCCAACCUUCCAAAGUUAUUUCCAAAUAGUUGUUCCCAAUGUAGAGUAGUUCUGAUACGAACUCGCUUACGGGAGUAAUUGAGUCGUUGAUUGCCCGAUCAUCAAAUUAAGUAGUUCUCAUUUCGGAUUAACAAAAUGACUACGUUAUAAAAAGAUAGUUGUUUGGCAGCGGAUAAACAAAUUUAAAAAUGAUGGAAGGUGGAUAUAAUGAUCUUAAAACACGAACGAACCCGUAGUGAUUAGGACCCAAUUCAUAUAAGUCUUAUGGUGGAGAAUAGAUAGCUGGAUAGGACCGAGACCCACUAUCUAGGGAGAUAGGAACCUACGGUAUAGGUGAACGUCACACUCAAAAGUGCUAAGUUUAAGAACGAAGAUAGGAUGACGCCACUAGCAAUGCUAGAUAAGUCAGAUCAAAUCACCAAGAACAAUAAGAGUGAAAAACUCACAAAGUCUAAAAUAUUUCAUAAAUUUAUCAAAAGGUCCCUACAAUUAGCUGAAAACAAAGUAUUUAUAGGCAUGAGACAAACCCCAGCCGAAUAGACACACACACUUAGCUUAAUUGAGCUAUUAAUUAACUUAAUUGAGCUAAUUAAAAACUACAAAACCUUUGAUGAACUCUAACAUAAGAAACGACAAUGGACAACAUGUUUGGUCUUCCUAUUCAGCUAAUAAUUAACUCUAAUGAGCUGAAUAAACUUGAUUCAAUGCUUGAUCAACUAAAGAGUCAAAACAACCUUUUAAUUUCUCCUUGGAUAGCCAAAUGAGCAGCAGUAAAAAAUUAAUGCCAUUUGGCACACGAACAGCCCCCUUUGUGUGAAUGCUUGAAUAUAAACGGUCAAAAUGUGUGAAUGGACGAAUUGGAACAACCACCAUCAUGUGAAAACGUUUGGAAACUGAAUGGGCUUGUGUGAACAGCUCCUUGUCCAUUAAACUCCUCAAACAGUCACUUGGAGAAACUCAUAACAGCUGAUGGUCUUAAAUUCAUUCCUCUUUAAUGCCAAUCAAUGCACCAGCUAGAUUCAGUUGAAUGGUCACCUAAAAAAAUCAAUUAAAUUCGGUAAGGACACAUUAACUAACUCAAUUAAGUUGUCUAAGUCUAAGACACUUUAAAGAGCUGUUUGAGCUAAGACAAAUUAAAUAGAUUUCAAACAAAUUAAAUGGCUGUGCAAAUUAAUACAAAUUAAUUAACUAAGACAAAUUUAAUGCCGAAAAUACUUAGACAUAUUAAAUAACUUAAGACACAUUUAAUACUUAAACUAAAUAUUAUUUAAGUUUAUUCCAGCAAUUAAGUAGCUCAAAAUGCAUAAAUUAAAUAAAGCUAAAUUUCAGCUGAAACCGAAUUGGAUUUUCCAGCAAAUUGAUGAACAAGCUAAAACCGAUUAAUGUUGAGCUCAAUGAGCUUUGAUGAGGUAUGAACGAACUAAAUGAGCUUGUAGCUGCCCAUUGCAUGGAACACUUAAAUCGGAAAUCUUUGAUUGUUCGAUUAUUCCAACAAUGAUUUCCAACCCUAGCUUGCUUAAUUAAGGCCUGCACACAAAUGAACAAACUAAAAUUAAGCUUCAUUUUUCACUUAGCCAAUCUCGAUGUUAAAGCCAAUCUCGAUGGUGUUGAGUUGUGUCGUAACAUAAUGCGGUUGGGAUCGCAUCAUACCCUCCCUCUUGAAAACGAUUUAUCUUCAAAUCGGGCCAAUUGUUCGAAAAAAAAUUCACCAUCACAAACCUGGAAACUACACAAUACUCGAAAAUGAAACAGAUUAAUUGCUUGCCCUCCCUCUUUAGAAGGAAUCCAUUUCAAAGUGUCACCUUCACGAAAAUAAAAAAGGUUAGUGACAACAUGGAUGAUGAACUCGAAGGAACUUUCUAAAAUGUUAUGCACAGAUUGAACAUAUGUUCCUAUGCCGGGAUCAAAAACAUAAGUUGGCCUUAACUUUCCAAGAUGAAUCAAGAUUUUAUGUACAACCACAUAAAAGAAACAGGAAUCAAUUCAAAGUUGUAAUCAGGAUGCACAAAUUUCAUUUUCUUACUUAAAGUCCAAACAACAAUUAAGCACACAUUGUGCUCACAUUUAUCUUCACAAAAUUUGUAAGGCUUGAUCUCUUUCAAUGUCGAACCAGAAUGGUAAACUCCCGGUUUUAACACACAAAAUUAUUCACUCAUCCCAAAAUGCGGCACGAAUUUCUUAACCACCAACAAUUCAAAAAAGUAAAACAAAUUAGAGACAUUAUAAGUUAUGGGCAAAAAACAACUUUUUAGUAUCCAACUCAAGAAUGGAACACAUGAACCAAUGCCAAAAUACAAGUUACGAGUUGGUCUUACCUUUUUAGAAUGAAUCACAAACUUUAUCGAUGGUAACAAACCAGAAUCACAAGACAUUCGCAAAUUAUAAUCUUGGAAAAGAAAAUUUCUUCAUUCAAAUUCCUUGAACAAAAAUAUAGAACAAUAAUCUCCGGGAUCAAAAAUAAAGUUUUCUCUUACCUUCUCAAUCUGACAUGAAGAUUUCAUGGCUGGUAACAAAGAAGGAAUUUGAAAUAAUCAAAAAUUAUAAACAUGCAAGAGAAGCUUAAAUACUCUUAACCAAAAUGUAGAACAAUAAUUCCUGCAAUCCAAAAAUUUAUUUUGACUUUGGAAACCAGCUGAGUUCACAUAAGUUGUUUUUGAAACAAAAGAUAAAACAUGGAACAAAUAGAAGGGACCAACAUGCUUAGACAAAUUAAAACUACGAUACUCACCUUCUCUUACCAACAACUUAGGUAAACAUGCUCCAGGUUUAAACACAUGAUUCAGUCACUAAUGUUAAAAAAUAAUGCAAAGACAUAGUCCAUAAACAACGUAAUCAUGCUAGACAAAUAAGAUUUGAUCGCAUGUAUGUACAAAUAAUCAUGGCUUUCAAAAUAUCUUCGUAUGAACCAAGAUAUCCACAAAAUUUCAUCGCAUUGAUUGAAAGAAUUCACGUAGCAAUCAAAACCAAACAGAUUUGGCGUUUUACAUGAAUACCUUUGAUCACAUGCGACAAUCAUGUUUUGCUAACUUAUAAUUGGAGCAAUGUCAUCAACGUCCACAACAUCUUGCAGUUUAAUGUGAUUUGAAUCAACAUGAAUCAAAUGAUGAUAGAAACAUUUCGUGACACUAUUCGAAAUAGGUUCAGCAACGAAACUCAUGUCAUCAUGCGUUUUAACACAAAGCAAAAGAUGAAAGAAGCUAUGCAGGUUACCCUUCAAAACAGAUUCAUUAUUUCCAAUCAAUGCAUAACAACUAAACAAGUCUUCGCAAACAAUUUUUUUAAGAUCAACGGUAUGAACAGGCUUGGUAACGAGAGUUAAAGAGUUCCACUUCGAUUGGUUUUCAAUAGAGUCCUUACCUUUCUUACCUGUAGAAAUGUCAAAAAUGUUCAGACUUUCCAUCUUACCUUCUUCAAUCAAUUGAAACCGUUGUUCGUUGCGUAGGUAAUGGAAUUGGAACUUGUCUUUAGGUGGAAGUUUACGAACUUGAAACGAAGAGAAAUCACAAGGCAAGUUUGAAUGGGGGUUAGCAAAAAUAUUCCUCCCUUGUGUUUGAGCACUCUCUUCUUCUUCACACGUUUCUUUUUCAAUCUCUUUCUCUUUUUCACUUAUUUUCUUUUCAAGCACUCUUUCUUUUUCACUCAUUUUCUUUUUGAGCUCUCUUUCUUUUGCACUCGUUUCAUUCACAUUUUCUUUUGUUUCUCUCUCGCUUUCCUCUUUUUUCUUUUUCAUUUUCUUUUAUUUCAAUUUCUUUUUUCAUUUUUCUCCUCUCGUUUUUCUUUUACCUCACUUGUUUUUACAACAAAAUUUUUCAGUUUGAGUUGAUCCUCGUAGACUUGCGUCAGAGUGAGCUGUACUAAAGUUACUUUCCUCCCCUGAUGCUUAAAGGAAUACCUAUUGGUAUGGCCGUCAUAAAUGACCUUUCGUUUCAAUUUCCACGGCCUUCCUAGUAACAAAUGGCAGGCAUGAAUAGGUACCACAUUGCACAUGACUUCGUCUUGAUACUUGCCGAUGGAUAAGGCAACACGCACUUGUUGAAUGACCGUAAAUUCGCCUUCUUUGUUAUGCCAUUGCAAUGUAUAGGGGUACGGAUGCUUGGUAGUGGGUAAGCCAAGCUUCUCUACCAUUCUAGUACUGGCCAUAUUUAAACUACUUUCACCAUCAACAAUGAUGCAACACACUUUAUCGUGGACACGGCAGCGAGUGUGAAAUAGAUUCUUACGUUGCGGUUCAUUCUCCAAGCUUUGAAGGGUUGGAAUCAUUUUGAUGUCAAAAGCUUCGUCAACGACAGCAUGGGGCAAGUCAAACUUAGAAAAUUCUUGGACCAUGGUUUCAGCAAAGUAUUAGAAAACAAAAGAUAAAUUAAAUAGAAAAAUGAAUCUUACCACAAACCUCACAAAUCCUUUCGCAAAGAAAAUUAAGAUGUGCUCUCUACCCAUGUUUGUGCUCGGAUAUUGGCUUUUACCUCUUAAUGUAUUUUCACUCGUGCCUUUUACCUCUCGGAUUCACCUCUCAAAGUUCUUAGCAAUUUCGUUAAACUUAUUAACGCACUUGUGGGUUGGCUUCAAAAGGCUAAGAAACAAAGAUUGAUGUUAAGGUAAUUAGGUAGGCUGAAAGAAAAAAAUUAAAGAGUGUGGCUGUAAAAAUAGUUUCUUCAAAAAAAAAAAACAAACACAAAAGAUCGGGAAUUAAAAUUUUCCAAAUAGCUUUUCUUUGAUUUGAAAUACUCAAAACCAAACUCCUAAUUUUGCAAUUUUGCAACUUAUAUGCAUAAUUUUUUUUACUCGAAUUUUUUUUAAUUUCAAUUUUUUUAUUUUUUUAAUUCUAAGAGUACAAAAACGAUAAAAAUGUACCUAAUUUGAAAAGCUCUGAUACCAAAUGAUACAAACUCGCUUACGGGAGUAAUUGAGUCGUUGAUUGCCCGAUCGUCAAAUUAAGUAGUUCUCGUUUCGGAUAAACAAAAUGGCUAAGUUAUAAAAAGAUAGUUGUUUGGCAGUGGAUAAACAAAUUUAAAAAUGAUGGAAGGUGGAUAUAAUUAUCUUAAAACACGAACGUACCCGUAAUAGUGAUUAGGACCCAAUUCAUAUAAGUUUUAAGGUGGAUAAUGGAUAGUUGGAUAGGACCGAGACUCGUUAUCUAGGAAGAUAGGAACCUACGAUAUAGGUGAACACCACACUCGAAAGUGAUAAAUUUAAGAACGGAGAUAGGAUGACGCCACUAGCAAUGCUGGAUAAGUCAAAUCAAAUCACCAAGAACAAUAAGAGUGAAAAGCUCAUAAAGUAUGAAAUAUUUCAUAAAUUUAUCAAAAGGUCCCUACAACUAGCUGAAAACAAAGUAUUUAUAAGCAUGAGACAAACCCCAGCCGAGUAGACACACACACUCAGCUUAAUUGAGCUAUUAAUGAACUUAAUUGAGCUAAUUAAAAAUUACAAGACGUUUGAUAAACUCUAACAUAAGAAACGACAAUGGACAACAUGUUUGGUCUUCCUAUUCAGCUAAUAAUUAACUCUAAUGAGCUGAAUUAGCUUGAUUCAAUGCUUGAUCAGCUAAAGAGGCAUAAUAGCCUUUUAAUUUCUCCUUGGAUAGCCAAAUGAACAACAGCCAAAAAUUAAUGUCAUUUGGCACACGAACAGCCCCCUUUGUGUGAAUGCUUGAAUGUAAACGGUCAAAAGGUGUGAAUGGACGAAUUGGAACAGCCACCAUCAUUUGAAAAUGUUUGUAAACUGAAUGGGCUUCUGUGAAAAGCUCAUUGUCCAUUGAACUUCUCAAACAGUCACUUGGAGAAACUCAUAACAACUGAUGGUCUUAAAUUUAUUCCUUUCUUUAAUGCCAAUCAAUGCACUAGCUGGGUUCAGCUGAAUGGUCACCUAAUGUAACACUCCUACCCGUAUCCGUCGCCGAGUUAAGGUAACGAAACAUUACCGAUCUAAACACAGUUCAGUACAGUCAUUUAAUACAAAACAUGUUCAAAGUUAUAACAACUUCUUUUAAUAGUUUUCAAACUCAAAAAUCAACCUUCUACUCAAUUAUAAAAGUCAAAUUCACAUAUAUUAAACACUUAAUCAAAUAAAGUCAAUCAUGCUUUAUUGUUUAUAAUAUAUAAACAAUCCAUGCUUCAAAAUUCAAACAUGUCAAUAUUAUUUAUUUAAUCAAAGUGUCGAAUUGACUAUCAUGCAUCAAGGUCAUAUUACAUAUGCUUUAUAAGGCAUAAUUCAAACCUUAUAACCAUCAAAUUUCAUGAUCCAACUUAAAAUCAAGCAUACUUUAUUUCAUAUACUAAGCACACAUUUCACAUCAUUCACUUGUAUAUAUAUUCCAUUAGCUAAUUAUCAAACAUGCCAUUUUUAACAACACAUUUCGAUACUAUUUAUCUCAUUCAAAUAAGCAGCUAAAACAAAUCCAAACUAUGCCCAAUUCGGACCAUAAUAAUGCAACCAUUUCGAAAUGCAUUUUUGCCUAAACCAAACAUAACAAAAUUGGACAACAUAUAUAUACAAGGCAUCAUCUAACACAUAAAUUCCAGCCAAAAACAUACCAAUUCAUGC